rnacentral:rRNA from 1 species
CUUGGUCAUUUAGAGAAGUAAAAGUCGUAACAAGGUUUUCCUUCCGGUUAAAGCUUUUAACCUAUGAAGCCUAACAUGGGCGACUAUAAAAUAACCAUGGAGUUCGGCCCCCCACGGGGCAGGACAACACCGCUGAAAUGCUGUGAUCAACUAGUGUUGUACAGCAGCCUUUUCAUAGGGCCCACAGAUCAAGCCGCGGUGAUCCUACCUAAAUAAUUAGGUGGGACUAUAAUAUGACCGGUCUCACCUGAGAUGGUUGAAGUAAACGUUCCGUAGGUGAACCUGCGGAAGGAUCAUUACCGAGUUAGGUCUUCUAGGCCCGACCUCCAACCCUUUGUUGACUAUACCAUGUUGCUUUGUGGGCCCGCCUUUAGGGGCUCCCGGGGACAUUUAUGCCCCUGGUCAGUCCCACCAGUAGCCCUCUGAAAUUCUUUUAUAAUUAUGUCGUCUGAGUAUAAUAUAAAUCGUUAAAACUUUCAACAACGGAUCUCUUGGUUCUGGCAUCAUGAAGAACGCAGCGAAAUGCGAUAAGUAAUGCGAAUUGCAGAAUUCAGGAGUCAUCGAAUCUUUGAACGCAUAUUGCGCCCUUUGGUAUUCCGAAGGCAUGCCUGUUCGAGCGUCAUUAUCAACCAUCAAGCCUAGCUUGUCGUUGACCCCUUUUGCCGCUGAAAUAUGUGGCAGGUCCGAAAGAAAAUGACGGUUCGUGUUUGACCCUAGAUGCAACGAGCUUUUUAUAGCACGCAUUGAAGUGUCGGGCGACCUAGUCUUAACCAUUAUUUUUCUAAAGGUUGACCUCGGACAGGUAGGAAUACCCGCUGAACUUAAGCAUAUCAAUAAGCGGAGGA